rnacentral:rRNA from 1 species
CCUACGGGAGGCAGCAGUGGGGAAUAUUGGACAAUGGGGGCAACCCUGAUCCAGCCAUGCCGCGUGUGUGAAGAAGGCCCUCGGGUUGUAAAGCACUUUCAGUGAGGAAGAACGCCUGGUGGUUAAUACCCAUCAGGAAAGACAUCACUCACAGAAGAAGCACCGGCUAACUCCGUGCCAGCAGCCGCGGUAAUACGGAGGGUGCGAGCGUUAAUCGGAAUUACUGGGCGUAAAGCGCGCGUAGGUGGCUUGAUAAGCCGGUUGUGAAAGCCCCGGGCUCAACCUGGGAACGGCAUCCGGAACUGUCAAGCUAGAGUGCAGUAGAGGAAGGUAGAAUUCCCGGUGUAGCGGUGAAAUGCGUAGAGAUCGGGAGGAAUACCAGUGGCGAAGGCGGCCUUCUGGACUGACACUGACGCUGAGGUGCGAAAGCGUGGGUAGCAAACAGGAUUAGAUACCCGAGUAGUC